UAUUGGACAAUGGGCGCAAGCCUGAUCCAGCAAUACCGCGUGUGUGAAGAAGGCCUUAGGGUUGUAAAGCAUUUUCAAUUGGGAGGAAAACCUGCCGGUCAAUACCCGGUAGCUUGACAUUACCUUUAGAAGAAGCACCGGCUAACUCCGUGCCAGCAGCCGCGGUAAUACGGAGGGUGCGAGCGUUAAUCGGAAUUACUGGGCGUAAAGCGUGCGUAGGCGGUUCGUUAAGUCAGAUGUGAAAGCCCUGGGCUCAACCUGGGAACGGCAUUUGAAACUGGCGGACUAGAGUUUAGUAGAGGGGAGUGGAAUUUCAGGUGUAGCGGUGAAAUGCGUAGAUAUCUGAAGGAACACCAGUGGCGAAGGCGACUCCCUGGACUAGAACUGACGCUGAGGUACGAAA
rnacentral:rRNA from 1 species